CUUCCAGUAACACCUUAGAGACCAACUAAGUUUGUUAUUGGUAUGAGCUUUCGUGUGAAAGUUCAUACCAAUAACAAACUUAGCUGGUCUCUAAGGUGCUACUGGAAG